UGGUCUCCAACCACAACAAUUGUGGGGAGCUGUAUGCCUUCUUUCAUCACCAUGAGCAGCCUGAGCCUGUCGAUGACAUCAAGCAAAGGUCGGAUUUUGUCAUUGUAUGAUGAAAUAAUUGGGGCUUGAGCUGCUGCUGCUCCCACCACCUUAGGUUCUUCCAUAGGAGGAGUUGCUGGUUUAGAAUCUUCAUAAUCAUUGAUGACACCAAUGCUCCCCGAAUCAGCUUCAUCAUAGCUACCCAUUUUUUAGAAGUCGAGACAGGAUGGGAAUUGGCCAAACUUGAUGUUUUAGACGGUUUUUUUUUUUGUUGGAAUUUGGAAAGCAAUAAACUUGAACUAAAGUGAAGACAAAUUCAAUGAAGCAUGUUUGGCUUUAUAAUGAAAAUUAAAAUAGGGUAAAGCACCAAAAAUAGGAACAAUAAAGCGAUAGCAUCCUAUACCAAACCCCAAGAAACAAGCAAACGAAGCUACAAUGGGAAUGGAAAAUUUUAGGUUAUACUUUGAAUUGUAGAAAAUAAUGAUACAAGGACAGAAGAGAGGAAACAGAACAAAAUCAAAUCGUGACCGACCGAAAGUUGAGUGUGUCGAUGACAGAAAGUUCGAAACAUAAACAGCCCCACAAGUUCCUACAGGAACUAGACAGCAGAACUAUAUGAAACAAUGUAUUCACAUUGAAGUUUCGGAUAGAUGCCACGUACAAGCCAUGUUGCCAUUACCUCAUAUGCUCUUUGUGUCAAAUGAGUUCCAUCCCAACUAAGCUGUUCAUUAGGGUUUUCGCAUACCGGUACUUUUGGAUCUCCGCACCAACUUGAUAAGCCAGAAUUGUAGUCUCCCCCAAUUCCGCAGCAAGCUUUUUGCAAUGAUGUUGGAUCAAAACCAGUUGAGAUUUUUCGAAAACUCAGAACAUGACUAGAACCAUUCACAGUACGAUCACAUAAACUUAUGGAUGCAAAUAAAUCAGACUUACCAAGCAGAUCAGCUUUGCUCAAAAGCCACAGGAAUGCAUUGUAGUAGUCACCGUAGACAACGAUUACAUCUGGAUGUUUUUCUUUUAGCUGAUCAGCAAUAGCUUGUUGAAGAAGAUGAUUAUGAUAGAUUGAAAAAAAGCCUUGACUUCGUCCCUUUCGUAUACCUACUCUAAGACAAAAAAAAAUCAUUUUAUUAAUUAAGCUUUUUGUUUAUUAAUAAUUUGUUUUUUUUUUCAAAUUCAUUAAAUAUAAUUAAAAAUAUUUGGAAGAAAAAUCUAAUGGUAGACUAGAUAGUUAAGAUAAUAUCUGACAGAGAGAUCGAUGUUCGAGUAUUUGUUGAAGUUCCUACGUAACUUAUAACAAUUUUACAAACUGAUAGAGAUAAUAGUUUAUUCGAACAUUUAUUUUUAAUAGAGUGAAGAAACCCAAUUAUUUAAUUUAUGGGUAAACUACAUAAAGGGUAACACAACUAUAAAAAGUUACAAAAUGUUCAUCUAACUAUUCAAUAUUGUUUUUUUAGAUCACCCGGCUAACGGUGGCAACUUUUAAAUUUUGAAUAAUAGAAAUUUAACCCUCAACACUUAUAUAUUGUAUCAAUUUAGUCUUGAUUCUAAAAAAAAAAUUUAACUCUCAACAUUUACACAUUGUAUAAUUUGGUCUCUCUUUUUGUAAUUUUGCUUUUCUUUGUGACAUUUAGUGUUAAUUUUAAAAGAAUAAGAAAAGAAAAAAAAUUAUUAUCUUGGAUUUCUGGGUGCUCCUAUUUUUUAUAUAUUUUUAAUCAAAUUUAACUGAUAAAUUUAUUUUUAACUUUUUAAGUGAAAGGGUAAAGAAAAACAAAGUUGUACCAGAAAAAAGAAGAAGAUCAAACUACCCAAUGUAUAAAUGUUGAUAGUUAAUUAUUUCUGGAAUCAAGAUUAAAUUGACAUAAUUUAUAAAUAUUGAGGGUUAAAGUUGAUAUUAUGCGAAUAUUAAAAGUUGUCACCGAUGAUCAGUGACCAAAAAAAGACAAAACUGAAUAAUUUAAUGAUCAUUUUGUAACUCUUCAUAAUUUAGUACAAAAUUAAGUGAAUGUUAACGUGUUUGAGGCGAACCUCGAUGAACAUGUCAUGCAACGCAUAGCUAAAGGGGUAGAUAAGAGCUUUAGACCUCUUUUAGUUAAAUGGUAUCAUUAUGAUUAUAGUGCCUCUUAAAUGUCAAUUGUUCAAUUUAGUUCCUCUCUAGCUUUUAAUUAAAUGGAACAAUUGUAAUUUAGACCCUUUUCAAAUGUUUAAAUUUAAUUUGAGUUAUUUUAAUGUAAAAUAUUUUAGCUUUGUCCCCUAUUUUUUUAAUUUUAUCUUGGCUCUUCAUCACAUAAUUCAUGACUUCGCUUGAUACCAUGAGACUGAAUGUUAAUAUUUUAAGUAUUCAAACUUCGGAUCGUUUAUGAACAAAGUUUCGAAAGAAAGAUGAUGGAAUAUUGACCUUGUAGCUGUAUAAGAACUAGAAAGUAAUAUUAUAAAAAGAUUGGAGAUUAUAAGUUAAACACUUUGAAUUAUCGAAAAGUUGUUGCAGGAAGUUCGGUAGUUCGAUCCCCUUAGCUUACCUUCAAAGAUACUUCACCAAUUUAGACCUCGAAAUCCCUACACUGUCGGAUUCGUUUUGAAAGGAGUAUGUGAAAUCCAUUAUACUCAAGAGCUCUCGAAGGGGCCGUGCAAAGAGGCUUCGAAAAAAAAUUGCAUGAAGUUCUUUUAUUUUAUAUAAAAAAUUUGAACUAAUAAAAAAUUGAUUUCAAAUUAUUUCUAUUUUUAUUUUUUAAUUUUUAGUGUAAAUAUUGAUUUUUGUGUAAUUUUUUGUAAUUCAAUUGUUAAAGUAUGUAGUUUGAUACAUAAUUAUUGUUGUUAAUUUAUGAUAGCUAUGAAUGGGAUGCAUUGAGUUUGAAAUAUUUUAAGUAAAUUAUCAAAUUUUAUAAUAUUAGUUAAAAUUAAAAUAAUAUAUAUUUACUCUCUUUUUUUCUCUUUCUAUCUUGAUUAAUUUGUGGACUAGGUAAUGAAUCUUGGUGUCCGAUUAUGUUUGAUAAUAUCUGUUUUUUUUAUACAAUUUAUAGAGGUACCUGUAGCCCCUCUUAAGCCAUAAGUAGAAGGAUAAUAUGCUUCAGCACACAAAAACUUACGUCUUCCUGCAUUGGCAAUUGAGUUAAGACUCCAUCGGUAAAAUUUUAAAGAAAACAAAAUAAAUAAAAACUAAUCCCCCAAUUUACCGUCCACAGUAGUUCCGACAUUAUUAUAUAAUCUUCAAUUCUUUAUAAUCUAUACUAUAUAUGUAGAAUACAGACACGUGCAGCAUGUAAUAAAGCAAACCAUGAUGAUGACCCAAAUUUUAUGUGAAAAUAUUAAACCAAGUAAGCAUCAUAAGCAACAAUCCUAUCCAUGAUCAUGGCCACACUAUCUUUGGACUCCUUUAACACCUUGAUGAUGUUUUUAAGCUUCUCACGCUUUGCAACAAUGGCAGGAGAUUCCACCAGCAUCAUCUUUAUCCCAUGUCCAUCCGGUCCCAUCAGCUUCUUCACAAUCUCAUCAAUGUCAUUGUGUACAAGAUUAUGAACAUGGUAUCGUAAAUGCAAUGCCAUGGAAUCGACCAAUCUCACCUUAAAUAUCUUCCAAUUGUUAGUACAAAACUCCGGUAAGGAAAAAUCUCGAACACACGAUCAGAACUCGAAAAGAAAAGAAGAAAUAGGACAAGGCUCCAAGGCGUGUAUCAAGGCACUAUCUUUAAGGUUAUAUUCGCCCCCACUUAUCUUCAGUGUGCAAAUGAGUUCCAAGCAAAUUAACCUCGAGGAUUCAAUGAAGCCAAUGACUAUUUGCGUUUUGCACUGACGAGAAUAGUCCACUAUGCACUGAGUAAUCUAUAACAAAAACUCAAUUUCUACAAAGGAUUUCUGCAGUAAUACUUUAUAGAAUAAUCUAAUAAUAUUAGAAAAUGAAGGAAUAGAAAAAAUAAUAUUAGAAUUUGUUGAUCUUUCCAAAUGAAAACUCAUUCCUAUUUAUAGGAAUUUUCUUGUCUCUUCAUAGAGACAUCUUUCAAUAGGUGUCUUUAUGAAUAAAUAAAUAAUAAUUAUUCAUUUAAUUUUAUAACUAUUCAAAUAAUAUUUUUUGAAUAAUUAUAAUUCUUUUUUUAAAAAAAAUCAAAUGAUAUAACUUUUGACCAAUGACCAAAAGAUUUAUCUUUUGAUUAAUUACACCCAUUCAUUUAUAGUUAUUGGAAUACUAUAAAUAUUUGAAAAUGUUCAACACCAAUAAGCAACCAUUCUCAUCUUCAGGUCGAAAGCUUGUUGCAGGAUAGAAACAUUCCAGUGUUGUCUGAGAUGUUCGAUUUGGAUUUCCCCGAAACCUUGGAGAUUCACACUGCAAGGCAGCGGCCACAUGUUUGUUCCAGAUAUUUGGUUUAUGAAAUGAUCUUGCUGGUUCAUGAACUUAUUCCACUCCAUCAUGUAAUCAGGGUUACAUGUAUAGCCUGUUAGCUUCUCAAUUUCUACAAUCUCUUUCACCCUAUUGAUUGAUUCCUCCCUCAGCUUUUGAACAAGGUUGUGAGCAGCUCCUUUAGCGAAUACCUUGAGGUGAUAAUACAUUUCCCACUGGCGCGUCAAAACAGACAUCACCACAUCGUCUAUGUAAUCCCAAUACUUUUCGCUGAAUUUGAUAGGGAGAUACGAUAUCCUCUCGACUUUUCUCCGUAAGAUACCAAGAAAUGCUUCACAGGGAUGGAAGUUCCGUAGUUCGAUCCCCUUAGCAUCUUCCAAACCCUUGAUCUCUUCUGUCAAAAAGUCUUUUGAUAGAUUACUUUCCUCGCAGUUGUGAAGCUCAUCGGACAACCGGUUCAGCAUUUCGACAAACCGAGCAGACCCGUGCUUCAUGUUGCCCUCGGGGUAUUCAUCAAAUUCCCCCCCCCCCCCAAAGAAGUUUCUUGAGGGAUUCUUUAGCUGCUUGAAUGAUUCUCAUCAUAGCUUGAGUGGCAUCAGCAAUAGAAGUUAAGGCCUUUUGCAUUUUCUCUAGCUCUGAAACAUUUGCAUCCAGCUUUGCACUAAUGUUUUUAACAAUCUCUGGCAAGCACUUUGCAAUUGCAUUAGCUUGAAUUUGAACAAGCUUUUGAGCCAAAACAUGAACACCCACAAUUGAUUUAUCAAUACAUGACAAAUGAGCAUUAGUUUCGAAAAAUCUAGCCUCUUCCUUCCUUGCUUCUUCAUAGUAUUCAUCACCAAUCCGAUUCCGAACACAAACAUAACCAAGUCCUAUAUUCACAUCAUCUGCAGUAACCUUGUCAACAAGCCCUUCGGGGGCCCUAUCUACUUUAGUAACCACAGCAAAAGUUCUCUCACCAUUCUUGUCCACUUGUUGCGACAUCCUAAUGGAUUCACAAGUUGAAAAAUCAACCGUAGCCGACAGAACAUUAAGGAUAAUGCUUUCCUUUGGUGUUAUGUACUGCAUGAUGAUGACCCGGAUCUGCUUAUAUAUGUUGUCAGGCUGACCAUGGACAGGAACUCUGAUAAUUCCAGGAAGAUCAACCACGGUAAGAUCAGGAACCCCAUCUUUCCUCACCACCAAAGUCAAAGGGAUGUCAGAUAUGCUCUUACCCGGGCCUGCAACCUCAUCAGUUGCAAUGUUUAUGGCUGUUGCAAUCUGGGGUUCCUCCACUGGGACCAUUUUGCCAUUGUACUCCAAGUAGAGCUCUGGCCUUGGCCUUGCAUGGUUCUGCGACCUGAUUAUGAGAGGUACCCUGGUGCAAAUUCCCUGGCUACGAGGAAGGUUAACACCAGCCAAGGAUUCAAGAACACUAGACUUGCCAGAUGACUGGUCUCCAACCACAACAAUUGCGGGGAGCUGUAUGCCUUCUUUCAUCACCAUGAGCAGCUUGAGCCUGUCGAUGACAUCAAGCAAAGGUCGGAUUUUGUCAUUGAAUGAUGAAAUAAUUGGGGCUUGAGCUGCUGCUGCUCCCACCACCUUAGGUUGUUUCAUAGGAGGUGUUGCUGGUUGAGAAUCUUCAUAAUCAUUGAUGACACCAAUGCUUCCUGAAUCCGCUUCAUCAUAGCUACCCAUUUUUUAGAAGUCGAGACAGGAUUGGAAUUGGCCAAACUUGAUGUUUUUGAUGGUUUUUUUGUUGGAAGUUGGAAAGCAAUAAACUUAAACUAAAGUGAAGUGAAGACAAAUUCAAUGAAGCAUGUUUGGCUUUAUAAUGAAAAUUAAAAUAGGGUAAAACACCAAAAAUAGGAACAAUAAAGCGAUAGCAUCCUAUACCAAACCCCAAGAAACAAUCAAAGGAAGCUACAAUGGCAAUGGAAAACUUUAGGUUAUACUUUGAAUUGUAGAAAAUAAAUAUUAUAUUCCGUAUUGGAUUGUAGAAAAUAAUGAUACAAGAACAGAAGAGAGGAAACAGAACAAAAUCAAAUCGUGGCCAACCAAAAGAUGUGUGUGUCGAUGACACCCCACUAGUUCCUACAGGAACUAGACAGCAGAACUAUAUGAAACAAUGUAUUCACAUUGAAGUUUCGGAUAGAUGUCACGUACAAGCCAUGUUGCCAUUAACUCAUAUGCUCUUUGUGUCAAAUGAACUCCAUCCCAACUAAGCCGUUCAUUUGGGUUUUCGCAUACCGGUACUUUUGGAUCUCCGCACCAACUUGAUAAGCCAUAAUUGUAGUCUCCCCCAAUUCCGCAGCAAGCUUUUUGCAAUGAUGUUGGAUCAAAACCUGAUGAGAUUUUUCGAAAACUCAGAACAUGACUAGAACCAUUCACAGUACGAUCUCAUAAACUUAUGGAUGCAAAUAAAUCAGACUUACCAAGCAGAUCAGCUUUGCUCAAAAGCCACAGGAAUGCAUUGUAGUAGUCGCCGUAGACAACGGUUUCAUCUGGAUGUUCUUCUUUUAGCUCAGCAAUAGCUUGUUGAAGAAGAUCAUUAUGAUAGAUUGAAAAAUUAUUCAACUCCUUUAAACAAUGAAGUUCAUCAUAAGCAGUAGCAUCAUUUGUUUGGUAUUUGGUGAGAUAUACAGGAAAGCAGCCUAUGGGGAAGUUUCCAGGAACAACUAACCGAGUAGCACCAUAUCCGAUAACUCUCUACACAGUGGAACUUAUGAGAAACAGGGUUUCAAUGAUUAGAAGUGAUAUAAUCAGAUGUUUCUUGAAAGGAAACUUACUUUGGUAGCUUGUUUAAUGGUUUCAACUACCUCGGGCACCAUGGUCUUAACCUCUUCUAUGGUUUUUCCUUGCCAAAAGGCAUAGUUAUAGUCAUUUCCUCCUAUCUCCCCAACCAUGAAAAGAGCUUUUCCAUUUUUCUUGAAGCAAUCUACCAAAUAUAACACCUCAAGUGGUUAUUUGUGUUAAUCCAUUCUGAACAUUGUUAUUAUACCUGAUUACCUCACCAGGAGGCCUCAUUAGACCAACCGCUCGAUCAUGGAGGUCUCACCUGCAUGAUAGCUCAACCAACUAAAGACACUCAUGUGCCUUGUCACACGAGCCACCACAAGGUCAUAUCAAGAUCCACUCAGGACCUGCUCCUAUCACAUCUAGUAAAGGCUCCAUCACUCGACCAUUAAGUCUACAAGAAUAAUCUAUCUUCAACCUCUACUAGCAGCUCUUGACACUCACGUGUGAGCCACCUUCAACCUCUUCCACCACAUCCUAUAUCAACAAACAUAUAUAUAUAUAUAGGAAAGAUGCUAACCUUUGUUACCAUGACAAGUUGUAUUGAAAUUGCUAAACAUCCAGUCAAGUUGUCUACUUAAAGAUAUGCUGGUAGGCACAAAGGAAACAUUCCACUUGGCUAAAUCUUCUGCAGACAUGGCAGUAGCUCCGGCAAAGGCGAAAUUAAGCCCAUAAUCAAAUAAUCCAUCUUUGUUUAAGUAAGGAUCAAGAAAAGGAAUUCCAGCAGAUAGUGCUGUUCAAAUGUUCAAAACACGAAACAGUAAACACACUGGUUAAACUUAAUUAAACCAACAAAAAUCAAUACAAAUAUAAUCAUUAAUCAUCUUCCUAAACCUUUCUAGUAUGGGGUUGACACUUUUUUAUAGAAAAAAAGCGAUUGAUUCUUCUCCAAGCAAUGCCCCCAACGUGUAUGGUCUCGGUGAAGCUUUUGAUUAGAAUUUAGUAUUUUACCUAUAUAAUCAAUCAUCAACAAACCAUCGGAGCAUCUCCCAGUUGCUUUCUUGAAGGUUUCUCCAUAUGGUAACCUUGCAAAUUUUGACGAAGGGUUAUCUUGCACAUCGUUACCCGUAUCUGCUAUGGAAUCCCCGAGCUGAUAUAUGGCAUCGAAAUUGCAGCUGCUAAGGAUAUGUUGAUUGUUGCAUGUAAUGAAGUUGAAGAAAGAGAUGAUAAUUAGUAUAGAGAACACAAAACCUGGUGGUGAAGAUUUACUAGAAGCCAUAUAUGCAGAAAUGGUAUUACUGGGUAUUUAGCAUCUAAAUCUUAGCUCCCCGUAAAAAGGUAUAUAGUUGUGCUCCUACAGGUAGCUUUGAAUCAGCGACGGCACCAGAGGGUCAGUCAAUGGCCUUAGCACCCCCCAAACGGCAAAUUAUUAUUUUAGUCCCUUGAAAUUUUUUAAAUUAUAAGUUAGGUAAAAAUACAUUUUGACCCCACAAGAUGAUUUUUUUUUUAAUUUAAUUCUUUUAAGAUUACAAAUAACAAACAUAUAGAAAGAUAAAAUUAUAUUUUAACCUUUUUAAAAUUAUAUAAUUUAAUUUUAGCCUCAAAAAUAAAGUCUUGACUUCGUCCCUUUCGUAUACCUACUCUUAGACAAAAAAAAAAUCAUUUUAUUUAAUCUUUUUGUUUAUUAAUAAUGAGUUUUUUUUUCUCAAUGUGAUUCAUUAAAUACAAUUAAAAAUAUUUGGAAGAGAAAUCUUGCCGUAGACUAGAUAGUUAAGAUGAUAUCUACCAGAGAGGUCGAUGUACGAGUGUUUGUUGAAGCUCCUAUGUAACUUUUAACAAUUUUACAAACUGAUAGAGGUAAUAGUUUCUUUGAUCAUUUAUUUUUAAUACGAGUAAAGAAACCUAAUUAUUUAAUUAUAGGUAAACUACACAAGGAGUCACCCAACGAUGAAAAGUUACAAAAUGGUCACUUAACUAUUCAAUCUUGUCUUUUUAGAUAGCGGUGGCAACUUUUAAAAUUAGCAUAAUAGCAAUUUAACCCUUACAAUUUAUAUAUUGUAUCAAUUUAGUCUUGAUUCUAAAAUUUUUUUUAACUCUCAACAUUUACACAUUGUAUAAUUUAGUCUCUCUUUUUGUAAUUUUGCUUUUCUUUGUGACAUUGAGAGUUAAUUUUAAAAGAAAAAGAAAAGAUAAAAAGUAUUAUCUUGGAUUUCUAGGUGCUCCCUUUUUUAUAUAUAUUUUUAAUCAAAUUUAACUGAUAAAUUUAUUUUUAACUUUUUAGUUGAAAGGGUAAAGAAAAACAAAGUUGUACAAAAAAAAAUCAAACUAAGCAAUGUAUAAAUGUUGAGAGUACUGUUUGAGGAAACAAAGAUUAAAUUGACAUAAUUUAUAAAUAUUAAGGGUUAAAGUUGAUAUUAUGCUAAUUUUAAAAGUUGCCACCGAUGAUCAGUGACCAAAAAAGACAAAAGUGAAUAAUUUAGUGAUCAUUUUGUAACUUUUCAUAAUUAAAUGACAAAAAAAUUACGUAAUUUAGUCUUUAAUUAUUUCUUUUGGACAUUGAUUAUUUAAUAACUAAUAAUAUUCAAUAAUUGACAUUAAAAAAUUGUUUGUAUGAUGUAGUCAUUGUCAUGACCCAAAAGAUGUACACAUAAAAAGAGUCACAAUCGGCCUCUACCAAAUUGAUUUUAGAAAGUAGACACUAACUCUUUAAAAUAUAAUUGUUGUAUCUUAAUUUAUAAGUUAUUAUAUUAUUAUAUAAGAAUAAUUUUCUUUUGGUAGAUAAAGAUUAUUUCUUUCUAAAUAAUCUUUCAAAAUUAUUAAAUAAUAAAUAAAUUUUUUUGUAAUUUGCAGUACAAAAUUAAGUGAUUGUUAACGUGUUUGAGGCGAACCUCGAUGAACGGAGUAAAUAAGGGCUUUAGACCUCUUUUAGUUAAAUGGUAUCAUUAUGAUUAUAGUGCCUCUUAAAUGUCAAUUGUUCAAUUUAGUUCCUUCCUGGCUUUUAUUUAAAUGGAACAAUUGUAAUUUAGACCCUUUUCAAAUAAUUAAAUUCAAUUUGAGUUAUUUUAAUGUAAAAUAUUUUAGCUUUGUCCCCUAUUUUUUUAAUUUUAUCUUGGCUCUUCAUCACAUAAUUCAUGACUUCGCCUGAUACCGUAAGACCCAAUGUUAAUAUUUUAAGUAUUCAAAUCUCGGAUCGCUUAUGAACAAAGUUUCGAAAAAAAGAUGAUGAAAUAUUGACCUUGUAGUGGUAUAAGAGCAAGAAAGUAAUAUUAUAAAAAGAUUGGAGAUUAUAAGUUAAACACUUGGAAUUAUCGAAAAGUUGUUGCAGGAAGUUCGGUAAUUCGAUCGCCUUAGCUUACCUUCAAAGAUACUUCACCAAAAUCCCCACACUGUCGGAUUCGUUUUGAAAGAAGAGUAUGUGAAAUCCAUCAUACUCUAGAGCUCUCAAAGGGGCCAUGCAAAGAGGCUUCGAAAGAAAAUUGCAUGAAGUUCCCACAAUGUCUCAUUGGCUUCACUUUGAUAUUUUAAUCUUUAAUCAUUUUAUUUUAUAUAAAAAAAUUGAACUGAUAAAAAAUUGAUUUCAAAUUAUUUCUAUUUCUUUUUCAAUUUUUAUUGUAAUUAUUAAUUUUUGUGUGUAAUUUUUUGUAAUUCAAUUGUUAAAGUAUGUAGUUUGAUACAUAAUUAUUGUUGUUAAUUUAUGAUAGCUAUGAAUGGGAUGCAUUGAGUUUGAAAUAUUUUAAGUAAAUUAUCAAAUUUUAUAAUAUUAGUUAAAAUUAAAAGAAUAUAUAUUUACUCUCUUUUUUUCUCUUUCUAUCUUGAUUAAUUUGUGGACUAGGUAACGAAUCUUGGUGUCCGAUUAUGUUAUGAUAAUAUCUACUUUUUUUGAUGCAAUUUCUAAAAGUACAUGUAGCCUACCUUAAGCCAUAAGUAGAAGGAUAAUAUGUUUCAUCGCACAAAAACUUAAGUCAUCUUGCAUUGGUAAUUGAGUUAAAACUCUAUCCGCAAGAUUUUAAAGAAAACAAAAUAAAUAAAAACUAAUCACUGUAGUUCUGACAUUAUUAUAUAAUCUUCAGUUCUUAAUAAUCUAUACUAUAUAUAUAGAGUACAGACACUUGCAGCAUGUAAUAAAGCAAACCAUGAUGAUGACCUAAAUUUUAUGUGAAAAUAUUAAACCAAGUAAGCAUCAUAAACAACAAUCCUGUCCAUGACCUUGGCCACAUUAUCUUUGGACUCCUUUAACACCUUGAUGUUGUUUUUAAGCUUCUCACGCUUUGCAACAAUGGCAGGAGAUUCCACCAUCACCUUCUCCAUCCCAUGUCCAUCUGGUCCCAUCAGCUCCUUCACAAUCUCAUCAAUGCCAUUGUUUACAAGAUUAUGAACACAGUAUUGUAAAUGCAAUGCCAUGGAAUCAACCAAUCUAACUUUAAAUAUCUUCCAAUAAGCAACUGUUCUCAUCUUCAGAUCGAAAGCUUGUUGCAGGAUCAAAACGUUGGAGUGUUGUCUGAGAUGUUCGACUUGGAUUUCUCCGAAACCUUGGACUUCCUUGAGACCUUGGAUUUCUCCGAAACCUUGGAGAUCCUCACAGGAAGGUCGCAACAUCAUGUUUUGGAGAUCCUCACGGUAAGGUGGCAACAUCAUGUCUGUUCCGGUUAUUUGGUUUAUGAAAUAGUCUUGUUGGUUCAUGAGCUCUUUCCACUUCCUCAUGUAAUCAGGGUUACAUGUAUAGCCUGUUAGUUUCUCCAUUUCCACAAUCUCUUUCACCCUAUUGAUUGAUUGCUCCCUCAGCUUUUGAACAAGAUUGUGAGCGGCUCCUUUCGCCGAUACCUUGAGCUGAUAAUACAUUUCCGAGUGGCGCGUCAAAACAGACGUCACCACAUUGUCUAUGUAAUCCCAAUACUUUUCGGUGAAUUUGAUAGGGAGAUACGAUAUCCUCUCGACUUUUCUCCGGAAGAUUCGAAGGAAUGCUUCACAGGGAAGGAAGUUUGGUAGUUCGAUCCCCUUAGCAUCUUCCAAACCCUUGAUCUCUUCUGUUAAAAAGUCUUUCGACAGAUUACUUUCCUCGCAGUUGUGAAGUUCAUCGGAGAACCGGUUCAGCAUUUCUACAAACCGAGCAGUCCCGUGCUUCGUGUUGUCCUCGGGGUAUUCAUCAAAUUCCCCCCUCCAAAGAAGUUUCUUGAGGGAUUCUUUAGCUGCUUGAAUGAUCCACAUCAUAGCUUGAGUUGCAUCAGCAAUUGAAGUUAAGACCUUUGGCAUUUUCUCUAGCUCUGAAACAUUUUCAUCCAGCUUUGCACUAAUGUUUUUAACAAUCUCUGGCGAGCACUUUGCAAUUUCAUUAGCUUGAAUUUGAACAAGCUUUUGAGCCAAAACAUGAACACCCACAAUUGAUUUAUCAAUACAUGACAAAUGUGCAUUAGUUUCGAACAAUCUAGCCUCUUCCUUCCUUGCUUCUUCGUAGGAUUCAUCACCAAUCCGAUUCCGAACACAAACAUAACCAAGUCCUAUAUUCACAUCAUCUGCAGUAACCUUGUCAACAAGCCCUUCAGGGGCCCUACCUACUUUAGUAACCACAGCAAGAGUUCUCUCACCAUUCUUGUCCACUUGUUGCGACAUCCUAAUGGAUUCACAAGUUGAAAAAUCGACCGUAGCCGACAGAACAUUAAGGAUAAUGCUUUCCUUUGGAGUUAUGUACUGCAUGAUAAUGUCCCUGAUCUGCUCAUAUAUGUUGUUAGGCUGACCAUGGACAGGAACUCUGGUAAUUCCAGGAAGAUCAACCAUGGUAAGAUCAGGAACCCCAUCUUUUCUCACCACUAAAGUUAAAGGGGUGUCAGAUAUGCUCUUACCCGGGCCCGCAAUCUCAUCAGUUGCAAUGUUUAUGGCUGUUGCAAUCUGGGGUGCCUCCACUGGGACCAUUUUGCCAUUGUACUCCAAGUAAAGCUCUGGCCUUGGACUUGCAUGGUUCUGCAACCUGAUUAUGAGAGGUACCCUGGUGCAAAUGCCCUGGCUACGAGGAAGGUUAACGCCAGCCAAGGAUUCAAGAACACUAGACUUGCCUGAUGACUGGUCUCCGACCACAACAAUUGUGGGGAGCUGUAUGCCUUCUUUCAUCGCCAUGAGCAGCCUGAGCCUGUCGAUGACAUCAAGCAAAGGUCGGAUUUUGUCAUUGAAUGAUGAAAUAAUUGGGGCUUGAGCUGCUGCUGCUGUCACCACCCUACGUCGGUCCAUAGGAGGAGUUGCUGGUUGAGAAUCUUCAUAAUCAUUGAUGAAACCAAUGCUCCCUGAAUCAGCUUCAUCAUAGCUACCCAUUUUUUAGAAGUCGAGACAGGAGUGGGAAUUGGCCAAACUUGAUGUUUUAAAUGGUUUUUUUGUUGGAAGUUGAAAAGCAACAAGCUCUAACUUAAGUGAAGACAAAUUCAAUGAAGCAUGCUUGGCUUGAUAAUGACAAUUAAAAUAGGGUAAAGCACCAAAAAUAGGAUCAUGGUGAUAGCAUCCUAUACCAAAUCCCAAGAAACAUUCAGAGGAAGCUACAAUGGGAAUGGAAACUUUAUGUUAUACUUUUAAUUGUAGAAAAUACAACUUAUAUUCUGUAUUGGAUUGUAGAGAAUAGUGAUACAAGGACGCAAGAGAGGAAAUAGAACAAAAGCAAAUCGGGACCAAUCAAACGAUGAGUGCGUCGAUAACAGAACAAGUUCCUACAAGAACUAGAUAACGAGUAUAUUUUUCUCUUUAUUCCUUGUUUUGUGGAUUAUAUAACGAAUAUUGAUGUACUAUAUUUUUCUCUUUAUUCCUUGUUUUUGGAUUAUUUAACGAAUAUUGAUGUACGAUAAUGCUUUGGUAUUGUUUAUACGUCAAAACAAAUAUGAUAUUGGAUUUCUUCCCCCAAACAUUUAGACUGAUCAGUUAUUAUUCGAAAAAUUUUACCUAAAUACCCUAUUAAUAGAUGAGAACAUCUGUAUUUAAAAAUAAAAAUCCAAAAAGAUGAUUGUAUCCCAAGGCAUGGAACAAUAUUGGAAUCUUGCUACACAAAAAAGCAAAACAUGCAAGAAGCAAACCAUGAUGAUGACCCAAAUUUUAUGUGAAAAUAUUAAACCAAGUAAGCAUCAUAAGCAACAAUCCUAUCCAUGAUCUUGGCCACACUAUCUUUGGACUCCUUUAACACCUUGAUGCUGUUUUUAAGCUUCUCACGCUUUGCAACAAAGUUGUACUUAAAAAAAUAAAUAAAUAAAACUACCCAAUGUAUAAAUGUUGAUAGUUAAUUAUUUUUGGAAUCAAGAUUAAAUUGACAUAAUUUAUAAAUAUUGAGGGUUAAAGUUGAUAUUAUGCUAAUUUUAAAAGUUGCCACCUAUGAUCGGUGACCAAAAAAGACAAAACUGAAUAAUUUAAUGAUAAUUUUGUAACUUUUCAGAAUUAAAUGACAAAAAAUUUACUAAUAACGUUCAAUAAUUGACUUUAAAAAAUUGUUUGUAUGAUGAAGUCAUUGUCAUGACCCAAAAGAUGUACAUAUAAAAAUGGAGUCACAAUCGGCCUCUACCAAAUUGAUUUUAGAAAAUAGACACUAACUAUUUAAAAUAUAAUUGUUGUAUCUUAAUUUAUAAGUUAUUAUAUUAUUAUAUAAGCAUAAUUUUCUUUUGGUAGAUAAAGAUUAUUUCUUUCUAAAUAAUCUUUCAAAAUUAUUAAAAAAUCGUUGAAUUUUUUUGUAAUUUAUAGUACAAAAUUAAGUAAAUGUUAACGUGUUUGAGACGAACCUCGAUGAACAUGUCAUGCAACGCAUAGCUAAAGGGGUAGAUAAGGGCUUUAGACCUCUUUAUCAGGCAGUAAGAAUGAUAUGCAGGUGUUCGAUAAUAUGUUUGAGAUAAGCACAAUAUAGCUUUCUCGCAAGGUGCUUGUGCUGGUUUAGUAUAUCUGUUAAUGCUUGAUACUGGCUUAUGAUUUAAGUCUGUUAUUUCUGGUACAGCUGUAACUUGUUUGUUAUUUUUUGUUAACAAAUUAUCUAGAACACCUGAACUGCUAUAAGUAGCCUAGGUGCUACUCUUCAUUCUGCAUGCUUAAAAAAUGUUGAAUAAGAAAUAGAGUGUUACACUCAAAAUCUCUCUCACUUGUUCUUCUUUUUCCUUCUUUUUUAUUCUGUUAUUUGUGAUUUCUUUCUAAUUCAUAAACAUCAUGAUUUCUUCAUCUUUUAUGUUUUGCUUUCAGAAUACAUCAAUGUUAUAGUUUCUUUUAUAAUAUACGCAGCUUUUCGACAUGGUAUCAGAGCUUCGGAAUUGAUGAUAAUCAGCUGUGAUUUGCGUCUGCCGUGUGUUUGAUUAAAUGUCUCUGUAAGCAGAAUCUCUUGUUCUUCAGCUAUUAUUUUGUUCUUGAGUGAUCUUUGGCUGCGAUGUCUGUCAAUAAUUCUGAACAAAAUGAAUCGUUGAAUAAUGAAACUGUGAAUCCUGCUUUUGAGGUCAAAUCUGAUGUUAGUAAAUCAUUUACUGCCAUUUUGACCAAGAAAAUAUCUCUGUUGAUUGAUGAAAGCAAUUUUCUGUCAUGGAAAUAGCAUGUUUACCUAACUUUGAAAACACAUAGGCUACAAAGUUAUGUAGAAGGAACUAUAGCUAUUCCUCCUAGGGUGAUUAACACUGAUUCGGGGGUACAAACAGAAAAUCCUGCUUUUGUUUCGUAUGAGCAGCAAGAUUCUGCUCUUGCGUCAUGGUUGAUGUCCUCAGUCAGUCCUUCUCUACAUACACAUCUGGUUGGCUUGCACUCUGCUUUUGAAAUAUGGAAUAAGCUGAAUCAGAUAUUUGCUCUUCACUCACGAACUAAGAGAAUGCAGUAUAGAUGCAUGUUGCAUAAUGUUAAGAAGCAAGAUAAGACAAUGAGAGAAUAUCUAGCAGAAAUUAAGCAUAUCUGUGAUGUGUUGUCUGGAUGUGGUCAAAAUAUUCAUGAGGAGGAACAACAAUCUGCUAUUCUUAACGGUUUACCUAUCGAAUAUGAGAACAUUGUUUCAAUUAUUACUUCUACUCAGCAGCCUUAUGAUCUUCAGGGAGUUGUUUCAGCUUUGUUGGAUGCAGAGGCGAGGAUAAAACUUCAGGGAAAUGUCAUGAGUAUAACUGCUAAUAUAGCCGUGCAGCAGUAACUCCCGGUAAACAGCAGUGAUAGUACUAAGUCGAAUGAUCAGACUCUUAAUUCUAGCUCUGAAGGUAUGAAUGUUCAGACCAGACUAUAUUAUCAAGGUAAUGGCGGGUUUAGGCCACGUGGUAGAGGAGGAAGGUACUCAAAUAAUUCGAGACCCCAAUGUCAAUUAUGUGGUAAGAUAGGGCAUUUGGUCUCUAAAUGUUUUCAUCGGUUUAAUGCUUCAUUCACUGGUAUUUCUGACUCUACUGCUACUAAUUCUCAGUCAUCAAACUAUGUUAAGCCUUUUGAAGGUGUGAAUGGUUUUUAUUGUUAUCCUGGUCCCACUACUGGUUUUACUAUGUUUAGUCCUCAAGUUGGACAUCCUGGUUUUACUGGGUUGAAUACUCAAAGUAAUCUUGCUGGUUCUGGAGGACUUAAUGUGUCUGCACAUAUACCUUCUACUGGAAUGCCUCCUACCCAUGCUGGUACUUCACAUUUUGCUGCAUAUAACUGCAGUAUGCCGAUAGUCAGCAAUCUCAGUCCUGCAAACCCUUAUGUUAUGUCCUGUAACAAUGGUAAUCCUUUUGUUAGUGGUGCUGGCUCUUUGUGUUCAGGUUCUACUCAAGCUAGUUCAGAAGGUAAUCGAAUCUCUAAGUGUUUGCAAGCUACACCAGCAGUGGUUGCAGAUCCGGCUUGGUCCCACUACUGGUUUUACUAUGUUUAGUCCUCAAGUUGGACAUCCUGGUUUUACUGGGUUGAAUACUCAAAGUAAUCUUGCUGGUUCUGGAGGACUUAAUGUGUCUGCACAUAUACCUUCUACUGGAAUGCCUCCUACCCAUGCUGGUACUUCACAUUUUGCUGCAUAUAACUGCAGUAUGCCGAUAGUCAGCAAUCUCAGUCCUGCAAACCCUUAUGUUAUGUCCUGUAACAAUGGUAAUCCUUUUGUUAGUGGUGCUGGCUCUUUGUGUUCAGGUUCUACUCAAGCUAGUUCAGAAGGUAAUCGAAUCUCUAAGUGUUUGCAAGCUACACCAGCAGUGGUUGCAGAUCCGGCUUGGUACCCAGAUACUGGUGCAACUGGGCAUCUUACACAUGAUUCCACAUGCUUACAGCACUCUAAUCCUGUUACAGCUAUAGUUCAAGUCGGUAAUGGUUCUUGUAUCCCUAUUAUAAAUACUGGUACUGCAACUUUUUCUACUGAUCAAAAAGAACUGCACUUAAACAAAUUGUUUUAUGCUCCUGAUAUUACCAAAAAUUUAAUUUCAGUAUCCCAAUUCACCAAAGACAAUAAUGUAUCAUUUGAAUUUUUUCCCAAAUAUUGUGUUGUUAAAUAUCUCACUACGCAGGCUGUUCUGGCACAAUGAGUUGAAGUUGAUGGUCUCUACAAAUUGGAUGUGAAUCAGAAAUUCAGUGCUCUUUCGUAUCUCUCGUCUGAUCUUUCAUGCUUUACCACUAGUGUUAGUUCAAAUAAUAAUGAUUGUGUGAAAUGUAAAAGUUUAACUUCUCAUGAGUUGUGGCAUCGUAGGCUAGGACACACUUCGACACACAAUCUUGCACAUCUAGCUUCCACAUCUGCUCUUCCUGUUAAAGUUCUCAAGGAUUUUCCAUUAUGUGUUGCUUGUCAAUAUGGAAAAAGUCAUAAACUACCAUUUACAUCAUCAACCACUGAGUAUACUUCUCCUUUACAACUUAUUCACUGUGAUGUUUGGGGACCAGCUCCAUGUGUGUCUUCUGGGUAUAAAUACUAUAUUUCAUUCAUCGAUGCAUAUUCAAGACAUGUUUGGAUUUUUCUUUUGAAACAGAAGUCUGAGGCUCUGUCUGCAUUUCUUGUGUUCAAAAAGCAAGUUGAAACAAUGUUUGAUAAAAAGAUUAAGGCGUUGCAAACUGAUAGUGGUGGAGAGUUUAGAUCAUUUGUACAGUACUUGCAAUCAUUUGGCAUACAACAUAGAUUAACCUGUCCUCAUACUUCUGAACAGAAUGGUUUAAUUGAACGAAGACAUAGACAAAUUGUAGAAAUAGGUCUUACUUUACUUGCACAAAGUUCCAUGCCUUUAAUAUAUUGGUCUGAUGCUUUUACUUACGCUGUUAAUAUAAUAAACAUCUUACCUUCCAAGGCUAUAAAUAAUAAAACUCCUUUUGAAAAAUUGUAUCAAGUUAAGCCUGAUUACUCUCUUAUUCGUGUGUUUGGAUGUCGUUGUUUUCCCUUGUUGACACCUUAUAAUCACAAUAAACUGCAGUUUCGGUCUAUAUCUUGCGUUUUUUUGGGCACGGUUGCUAAUCAUAAGGGUUAUAAGUGUCUUGCACCUAAUGGUCGAGUGUAUAUAUCUCGACAUGUUAAGUUUCAGGAAGAUAUUUUUCCUUUUUCACUAAAGGAUGACAUGCGCAUUUCUUCACAUUAUUCACACACUCCAUUUACUACAGUUCAUUUACCUAUUGUUUCGCCACCUGAUUUAACUACUAAUACUAAUUUUUGCUCUUCAUUGCAGCAGUCUAAAUCGCCAUCACUAAUAUCUACUCCUCCUCCAUCUCAUUCUCCAAAUUCUGGUUUUACUCCGUUCAACUCUCAAAAUAAUGAUUCUAACAUAAAUUGCACUUCCUCAUCUCAGAAUCACUCACCUAAUUUUUCACACGAUGGGCACCAGUCUCAAAGUUUGCCAAAUUCUGCAUCUGCACCUUCAUUUGAAGUGCAGUCUCAAGAUAUACCAAACCCGUCCCAACUUAAUAGUCACCCCAUGAUCACAAGGGGCAAGUCAGGUAUUGUAAAACUGAAAAUUAUCACUUAUCAAGUUACUAAUAUACCUUUUUCUCCUGUAGAUAUUCAUGAAGCUAUGCGGUUUCCUCAAUGGCAACAAGCCGUUCAUGAUGAACUUGAUGCUUUAGUGAGAAAUUAAACUUGGGACUUAGCUUCCUUACCACCAAAUCGACAUACUGUGGGAUGCAAGUGGUUGUUCAAGGUAAAGAAACGAGCUGAUGGUACUGUGGAUCGAUUCAAAGCUCGGCUGGUUGCCAAGGGUUAUGCUCAGAAAAUAAGCUUCGACUUUCAUGACACGUUCAGUCCAGUCAUAAAAGCAAAUACUGUUCGCACUCUCCUUUCCUUGGCAGUUACUCAUGGUUGGGAAUUGAGGCAAGUAGAUGUCAACAAUGCCUUCCUCAAUGGAGAUCUUGUUGAGGAAGUAUAUAUGCAACAACCCCCCGGUUUUGAGCAGCGAAAUAUCGAAGGUCAACCUCUUGUUUGCAAACUACGAAAGGCCCUUUAUGGUCUCAAACAAGCGCCGAGAGCUUGGUUUCAAAAGCUCAAAGAUUUUUUGUGUUCCAAUCUGAAUUUUCAAGCUUCAUGUACUGACCAUUCUUUAUUCACACGUCAAAAUGAAGGAACUAGGGUAUGGUGUCUGGUAUAUGUUGAUGACAUUAUUCUCACUGGUAGCAAUUCGAAGGAACUGAGUGAUGUUAGUCAUCAGUUAAACAAAGCGUUUUCCCUUAAGGAUUUGGGACCUUUGCAUUAUUUUCUUGAAGUAGAAGUGCAUAGACGUAAUGGAACUCUACAUCUAUCGCAGAAAAAGUAUAUUCGUGAGUUAAUCAAUUGUGCUGAGAUGACUUCUGCUGGCUCAGUACCCACUCCAAUGGUCGUGUCUCCUACUCUCACUUCAACUGAUGGUCAAUUGUUACCUACGUCCAAGGCUGUUUUAUAUAGAAGCAUUGUGGGUGGACUUCAAUAUGCAUGUCUUACCCGUCCCGAUAUAGCCUUUGCUGUAAACAAACUCAGUCAGUUCAUGCAUUCUCCAACUGACAAGCACUGGGUGGCAGUCAAACUACUACUACGAUAUCUUCAAGGAACUAUCGAGUUUGGCCUUUAUUACACUCCAGCGGAUCAGGUUGAUAUUGCAGCUUUUUCAGAUUCGGAUUGGGGCAGCUCUCUUGAAGAUAGGAGGUCUACUUCUGGUUUCUGUAUCUACAUAGGUGGCAACCUCAUUGGUUGGUCAUCCAAGAAGCAGCAUGUAGUGGCACGCUCCACAUCUGAGGCAGAAUUUCGAAGUGUCGCCAAUACUGCGGCUGACAUCGUUUGGUUCAUUCAUAUUCUGACUGAUCUUGGAGAGAAGUGUUGUGGAAUUCCAACUAUAUGGUGCGACAAUUCUGGUGCUGUCUAGAUAUCAGCAAAUCCUGUUCUUCAUUCCAAGAUGAAACAUGUUGAACUUGAUCUUCAUUUUGUCCGGGAAAAAGUAGUAAAGGGUGAUCUUCAAAUCAAUCAUAUUGCUGCACACAAUCAAGUUGCGGAUCUAUUCACUAAACCUUUAAGUGAAUCUCAAUUUGUUGCGCUGCGAUCAAAGCUUGGAUUAUGUCAACUCUGCUCAGUAUCCACGGCUUUUGUUUUCUCGGAGGAGGAGAAAACAGGGGGAAUAUCAGGCAGUAAGAAUGAUAUGCAGGUGUUCGAUAAUAUGUUUGAGAUAAGCACAAUAUAGCUUUCUCGCAAGGUGCUUGUGCUGGUUUAGUAUAUCUGUUAAUGCUUGAUACUGGCUUAUGAUUUAAGUCUGUUAUUUCUGGUACAGCUGUAACUUGUUUGUUAUUUUUUGUUAACAAAUUAUCUAGAACACCUGAACUGCUAUAAGUAGCCUAGGUGCUACUCUUCAUUCUGCAUGCUUAAAAAAUGUUGAAUAAGAAAUAGAGUGUUACACUCAAAAUCUCUCUCACUUGUUCUUCUUUUUCCUUCUUUUUUAUUCUGUUAUUUGUGAUUUCUUUCUAAUUCAUAAACAUCAUGAUUUCUUCAUCUUUUAUGUUUUGCUUUCAGAAUACAUCAAUGUUAUAGUUUCUUUUAUAAUAUACGCAGCUUUUCGACACUCUUUUAGUUAAAUGGUAUCAUUAUGAUUAUAGUGCCUCUUAAAUAUCAAUUGUUCAAUUUAGUUCCUUUCUAGCUUUUAUUUAAAUGGAACAAUUGUAAUUUAGACCCUUUUCAAAUAUUUAAAUUUAAUUUGAGUUAUUUUAAUGUAAAAUAUUUUAGCUUUGUCCCCUAUUUUUUUAAUUUUAUCUUGGCUCUUUAUCACAUAAUUCAUGACUUCGCCUGAUACCAUGAGAUUUAAUGUUAAUAUUUAAGUAUUCAAAUCUCGGAUCGUUUAUGAACAAAGUUUCGAAAGAAAGAUCAUGGAAUAUUGACCUUGCAGCUGUAUAAAAGCUAGAAAGUAAUAUUAUAAAAAGAUUGGAGAUUAUAAAUUAAACACUUGGAAUUAUCGAAAAGUUGUUGCAAGAAGUUCGGUAGUUCGAUCCCCUUAGCUUACCUUCAAUACUUCACCAAUUUAGACACCGAAAUCCCCACACUGUCAGAUUCGCUUUGAGAGUAUGUGAAAUCCAUUAUACUCUAGAGCUCUCAAAGGGACCAUGCAAAGAGGCUUCGAAAGAAAAUUGUAUGAAGUUCCCACAAUGUCUCAUUGGCUUCAUUUUGAUAUUUUAACCUUUAAUCAUUUUAUUUUAUAUAAAAAAUUGAACUCAUAAAAAUUUGAUUUCAAAUUAUUCCAAUUUUUAUUUUUCAAUUUUUAGUGUAAAUAUUGAUUUUUGUGUAAUUAUUUGUAAUUCAAUUGUUAAAGUAUGUAGUUUUUUGAUACAAAAUUAUUGUUGUUAAUUUAGGAUAGCUAUGAAUGGGAUACAUUGAGUUUGAAAUAUUUCAAGUAAUUUAUAUCAAAUUUUAUAACAUUAGUUAAAAUUAAAAGAAUAUAUAUUUACUCUCUUUUUUUUCUCUUUGUAUCUUGCUUUGUGGAUAAGAUAUCGAAUAUUGGUGCCUGAUUAUGUUCUGAUAAUAUCUGCUUUUUUCGAAAUAAUGUCUAGAAGUACUUGUAGCCCCUUUUAAGCCAUAAAUAGAAGGAUAAUAUGCUUCUGCGCACAAAAACUUAUAUCUUCCUGCAUUGACAAUUAAGUUAAGACUCGAUUGGCAAGAUUUUAAAGAAAACAAAAUAAAUAAAAACUAAUCCCCCAAUUUACCAUCCACAGUAGUCCUGACAUUAUUAUAUAAUCUUCAAUUCUUUAUAAUCUAUGCUAUAUAUAUAGAGUACAGACACUUGCAGCAUGUAAUAAAGCAAACCAUGAUGAUGACCUAAAUUUUAUGUGAAAAUAUUAAACCAAGUAAGCAUCAUAAACAACAAUCCUGUCCAUGACCUUGGCCACACUAUCUUUGGACUCCUUUAACACCUUGAUGCUGUUUUUAAGCUUCUCACGCUUUGCAACAAUGGCAGGAGAUUCCACCAGCAUCAUCUUUAUCCCAUGUCCAUCUGGUCCCAUCAGCUCCUUCAUAAUCUCAUCAAUGUCAUUGUGUACAAGAUUAUGAACAUGGUAUUGCAAAUGCAAUGCCAUGGAAUCAACCAAUCUCACCUUAAAUAUCUUCCAAUAAGCAACCAUUCUCAUCUUCAGGGCGAAAGCUUGUUGCAGGGUCGAAACAUUCGAGUGUUGUCUGAGAUGUUCGACUUGGAUUUUCCCAAAACCUUGGAGAUCCACACUGCAAGGCAGCGGCCGCAUGUUUGUUCCAGAUAUUUGGUUUAUGAAAUGGUCUUGUUCCUUCAUGAGCUUAUUCCACUCCAUCAAGUAAUCAGGGUUACAUGUAUAGCCUGUUAGCUUCUCCAUUUCUACAAUCUCUUUCACCCUAUUGAUUGAUUGCUCCCUCAGCUUUUGAACAAGGUUGUGAGCAGCUCCUUUCGUGAAUACCUUGAGGUGAUAAUACAUUUCCCAGUGGCUCGUCAAAACAGACAUCACCACAUCGUCUAUGUAAUCCCAAUACUUUUCGGUGAACUUGAUAGGGAGAUACGAUAUCCUCUCGACUUUUCUCCGUAAGAUACGAAGGAAUGCUUCAAAGGGAAGGAAGUUCGGUAGUUCGAUCCCCUUAGCAUCUUCCAAACCCUUGAUCUCUUCUGUUAAAAAGUCUUUUGAUAGAUUACUUUCCUCGCAGUUGUGAAGCUCAUCGGACAACCGGUUCAGCAUUUCGACAAACCGUGCAGUCCCGUGCUUCGUGUUGUCCUCGGGGUAUUCAUCAAAUUCCCCCCUCCAAAGAAGCUUCUUGAGGGAUUCUUUAGCUGCUUGAAUGAUCCUCAUCAUAGCUUGAGUGGCAUCAGCAAUAGAAGUUAAGGCCUUUGGCAUUUUCUCUAGCUCUGAAACAUUUGCAUCCAGCUUUGCACUAAUGUUUUUAACAAUCUCUGGCAAGCACUUUGCAAUUGCAUUAGCUUGAAUUCGGACAAGCUUUUGAGCCAAAACAUGAACACCCACAAUUGAUUUAUCAAUACAUGACAAAUGUGCAUUAGUUUCGAACAAUCUAGCCUCUUCCUUCCUUGCUUCUUCAUAGGAUUCAUCACCAAUCCGAUUCCGAACACAAACAUAACCAAGUCCUAUAUUCACAUCAUCUGCAGUAACCUUGUCAACAAGCCCUUCGGGGGCCCUAUCUACUUUAGUAACCACAGCAAGAGUUCUCUCACCAUUCUUGUCCACUUGUUGCGACAUCCUAAUGGAUUCACAAGUUGAAAAAUCAACCGUAGCCGACAGAACAUUAAGGAUAAUGCUUUCCUUUGGUGUUAUGUACUGCAUGAUGAUGUCCCGGAUCUGCUCAUAUAUGUUGUCAGGCUGACCAUGGACAGGAACUCUGGUAAUUCCAGGAAGAUCAACCAUGGUAAGAUCAGGAACCCCAUCNNNNNNNNNNNNNNNNNNNNNNNNNNNNNNNNNNNNNNNNNNNNNNNNNNNNNNNNNNNNNNNNNNNNNNNNNNNNNNNNNNNNNNNNNNNNNNNNNNNNNNNNNNNNNNNNNNNNNNNNNNNNNNNNNNNNNNNNNNNNNNNNNNNNNNNNNNNNNNNNNNNNNCAACCUGAUUAUGAGAGGUACCCUGGUGCAAAUGCCCUGGCUACGAGGAAGGUUAACACCAGCCAAGGAUUCAAGAACACUAGACUUGCCUGAUGACUGGUCUCCAACCACAACAAUUGUGGGGAGCUGUAUGCCUUCUUUCAUCACCAUGACCAGCCUGAGCCUGUCGAUGACAUCAAGCAAAGGUCGGAUUUUGUCAUUGUAUGAUGAAAUAAUUGGGGCUUGAGCUGCUGCUGCUCCCACCACAUUAGGUUGUUCCAUAGGAGGAGUUGCUGGUUGAGAAUCUUCAUAAUCAAUGAUGACAUCAAUGCUCCCUGAAUCA
rnacentral:lncRNA from 1 species